UUCCCCCGCAAACACGCAUUCUGAGAAGUCUAUUUUCUGUGGUUGCAUCCUAGGAUCUUGAAACUAUACCAGGAGAGCCUUUCUUCUGUCUGCUUCAUACGGUCCCUCCACUCUCAUUCUCCAAUAGGAAGCUCCGUGUGUUGUCCUGGGAUCUCGUCCUCAUUUCUUGAAGAGACGGACUGCAUUUCCCGCAGCCUCAAGUAACUUUUCUUCUGCUCUCCUUCAUCUGAGAGAAGCUUAUAGUGUUCUUCUUGGAAAACCACAUGAAACAAGGUGUGGUAGAGUCCGUUUGGCACCCACCCUCCACUGUCUUCACAGAAGUGGACUGCUCAGAGGUGAUGGAACGCAUUGUAGGAUGCUGUAAAUGUUCUGCCAAUUUCCAGCUCACGUGAAGCAUGUAAGUGCCUUGGAG
rnacentral:lncRNA from 1 species